UAAUAAUUAUUCUGAACUGCCUCGCUUUAUUUGACCUUUAAAGGCCAGCUGCUCUGCUGGAAGUAGUCAACAUCUGCAUUGACCUAGAUGACCGAUGCCGGGGGUUUUUUCGGUUCAUCGGCUAAGAAAAAUCCCGGAGUGGAUCUCGUUCCAUCAGACAGUCACCAAUAUGAGUACCAGAUGGUGAGGUGAAAACCUGAUCCACUGACUUUUGGCUCUGGAUGCAGUAUAGAGGACCAGAGGAAGAUGAAGGCAACUUUGAUGUCUCAUUCAGCCGUCCGUUUGAUGUCACUCCGUUAUCCAGGAGCAUAGAUGGAUCCGCUGCUGAUCACAUGCCUGAUGUAACAAGUUACAUACUUUGAAGAGACUUGCAUUGCAAUGCAGCAGAUCCAAUUAAUCCCCAGGGAGAAGCUACGAGAGAAGCUGCCGCCGACACAAAGAUGAAGCUGGUUUUACCUCAGAUCAUGGCAAACUGAAACAUUUGUCUCCUGAGCACCAGUCGUCUUCCCUAGUGUGAAACCUCCUCUCUCGUGUUCUUCUGCCGAGCCGGUUUCAUCCUGGGCGACAGAAUCUGCUUCGACAGAUGAAGGCUUUUAAACGCUGCUGAAAAAUGAGUCACACGGCAGGUGUUUGCUGUUUGUUUUCAAUUCCCAUUAGUCACUUCAGGUAAGAGUCCUUUCUCCAGUCGGCGUGGAGAGAUGGCAGUACCGCGCCGGAGACUUAUGCAUCUGAUGUGCAACUCAAAUAAAGGCGUUUGAAAGAUGUUUUCAACAAAAAUAGAAAAUAGUUUUGUGCUUUCCUUCAGGUCAUACUCACUUUAUUUGGAAUUAGAUAAUAGUUGUUAACAAAACGAGAUGCCUCUUAAUUAAAAAGUACAGUCAAGGACAGUUGCGUACCAAUAAGUUGCUAGCAUUCCUGUUUUUUAUUUUUAUUGUUUUAUUUCAUUUAAUUUCAUUUUAUAAAAUGUUA